rnacentral:rRNA from 1 species
CCUACGGGCGGCUGCAGUGGGGAAUAUUGGACAAUGGGGGGAACCCUGAUCCAGCCAUGCCGCGUGUGUGAAGAAGGCCCUCGGGUUGUAAAGCACUUUCAGUGAGGAAGAACGCCUGGUGGUUAAUACCCAUCAGGAAAGACAUCACUCACAGAAGAAGCACCGGCUAACUCCGUGCCAGCAGCCGCGGUAAUACGGAGGGUGCGAGCGUUAAUCGGAAUUACUGGGCGUAAAGCGCGCGUAGGUGGCUUGAUAAGCCGGUUGUGAAAGCCCCGGGCUCAACCUGGGAACGGCAUCCGGAACUGUCAAGCUAGAGUGCAGGAGAGGAAGGUAGAAUUCCCGGUGUAGCGGUGAAAUACGUAGAGAUCGGGAGGAAUACCAGUGGCGAAGGCGGCCUUCUGGACUGACACUGACACUGAGGUGCGAAAGCGUGGGUAGCAAACAGGAUUAGAUACCCCAGUAGUC